UGGUGAUGAUGUCUGAACUCACGAUGGUCUUCAGAGCCUCUGCUGAUGAGGGGGCUGCUGACAGUGCCAGUGGCAAUCGCUGAACCGUAGGC
rfam:Podiceps cristatus contig69078, whole genome shotgun sequence.